rnacentral:rRNA from 1 species
UACGGAGGAUCCGAGCGUUAUCCGGAUUUAUUGGGUUUAAAGGGUGCGUAGGCGGCCUAUUAAGUCAGGGGUGAAAGACGGUAGCUUAACUAUCGCAGUGCCUUUGAUACUGAUAGGCUUGAAUGUACUUGAGGUAGGCGGAAUGUGACAAGUAGCGGUGAAAUGCAUAGAUAUGUCACAGAACACCAAUUGCGAAGGCAGCUUACUAAAGUAUGAUUGACGCUGAGGCACGAAAGCGUGGGGAUCAAAUAGG